UGGGACGUGGUGUACGGUGCACCACUGCAUUCAAUAAUGUCACAUAAAGUAUCAUGAGCAGCAGGGCGGGGUUCGACUCCCCGCGUCCCAA